rnacentral:rRNA from 1 species
UACGGAGGAUGCAAGCGUUAUCCGGAAUGAUUGGGCGUAAAGCGUCCGCAGGUGGCUGUGUAAGUCUGCUGUCAAAGAGCAAAGCUCAACUUUGUAAAGGCAGUGGAAACUACACGGCUAGAGUGCGUUCGGGGCAGAGGGAAUUCUUGGUGUAGCGGUGAAAUGCGUAGAUAUCAAGAGGAACACCUGAGGUGAAGACGGGUUGCUGGGCUGACACUGACGCUGAGGCGCGAAAGCUAGGGGAGCAAACAGG